GAAAAAAUAUUUCAGUAAACAAAACAAAGUAAGUAAAUAUAUUUAAAAUAUAAUUGUAUAUGUAUUUACUUACAUCACAAGGUAUGGAUUUGCGUUCUAAUAAAAUAUUGCUAGCUACGAAAUAGAUGCUAAGCGAUCAAAUGCCCUCAGUUCUAGAACUGUAUUAAAAAGAGAGAAAACAGCGCUUUAUUCAAAACUCAAAAGUGAUUCGAAAAGAAGAAAGCAUUUCCCAAACUCUUGGUGAGUUUAUGACAAACUUUACUUCCAGUUUUACUUAAUUUCUUAAUUGUUCUUAAGAUUUCUAUAACUAUUAUCCUACUCUAGCGCUUUACAACUUCACGUCAUUUUUAAAAAAUAAUUUAGUUAUGGUUAUGGUACUAGUACUGUAUAAUUAAAAAAAAUACAAUUAAACACGACGAGUUCCCCUAGUCUAGAAUGAUGUGUUACUGCAGAUCUACUAGUGCAUCUAAAAUAUUGUUAUAUUGUCAAAUUUUUUAAGAAUUACUUUUUAUUGCCUAUAAGAAAUUCUAUUUCACGAACGACUCUACAAUUAGCGUCUUAUGAACAAAGCACUUUAGGCUUAGAAUUAUAUCUACUUACAGCAAGGGACUGGUUUUGGAAAAUACACCUUGUGAUUUAUAAUUAAUUUUAUAAUUAUAGUAUAAAGCCAACGGAAGGUUUCGGAUAGUAAUGUGUAGAACAAUAUCGUUAAUUGUACUCAUUAUCUUAAGUCUAUCAUUAUUAUAGCUAUUAAAAACAGAUCACGAUUCACUUCGUAUGGUUUAAAUGUAAUUCCGUUAAUAUAUCAAAACAUUAAAAAUGCUUUAUCACGUUACAUUUCUGUUCGGAAAACGAAUCGAUAGGCCAUUAUAUUGUCUCUUAACUUUGGUUUCCUUUUGUAUUUAUUAGCAUUUAUGAUUCUUUUAUAUAAUAUGACUCGUAGAACCUGAAUAGUUGUAUGUUUAUUUGAAAUACUGUAUUAAAAACAUAUCCGAUGUUUUCCGAAGAAUAUAUUUAAAAGACAACUUUCGUUUUCCUAUUAUUUUGUUUCCUACCUGUGCAUUCAUUUAAACUAUUGACACACUUCAAUAGACUCGCUUACAAGGGGGAAUAUAGACUAUCUUGGCGAUUUAUUGGAAGAUCUACAUUGGUUUGGUAUUUAUUUUUUAACCAACUGAUCAAACAGUUACAUUGCGUUCUAAACUCGUUAAUAAAUUAAAUUAAGUUAUAUGUGUAUUUUAUCGCCAAGUAAGUCAUAUACAGUCACUUCAUAAGAGCGUUACUACAUGUUUGGGGUUAUGAGUUAUAACAGGUCGGUCUUGCGUCAGAGCUGAUGGAGCGGGGCUCUGCAGUCUACGCUUGACAUCCAAGCCAGGUCUUUCGUUGUCACCUAAAACAACAAAAAUAUGUUUGAAAAGGCUUAUUACAUCAGAUAGGAAAACCGGGACUCGAUGAUACGCUGAUGGGCACUAUUAGGUAUUAGCUCUGACCUGGU